rnacentral:rRNA from 1 species
AUGGAUGCCGCAAGGACCAUGAUGGCGGAGUUCAAGUCUCCAUACAACUUUUGGGCCGAAGCCAUCAACACCGCGUAUCAUGCAUCCAAUCAGCUCUACCUCCGCAAGGGCUUGAACAAGACUCCGUAUGAGAUACUCACCGGUAACAAGCCCAACCUCAAGUACUUUCGGGUGUUCGGGUGUAAGUGUUUCAUUCUCAAGAAAGGUGUUCGAUUGUCUAAAUUUCAGGCUAGAGCAUAUGAGGGCAUAUUUGUUGGUUAUGCUACAAACUCUCAUGCUUACCUUGUCCUCAAUAAAUCCACGGGACUUAUUGAGGAGACGUGUAACAUGGAGUUUGAUGAGAAUAACGGCUCCCAAGUGGAGCAAAGUGGCACUUGUGAUGUAGGUGAUGAAAUUCCUCCUCAAGCCAUAAGAAGAAUGGGUGUUGGUUUUAUCCUACCCAUUGAGGAACCCCUUGUGGCCGAAGGAGAAGGACAAUGCUCCACUCAAGUGGAGCCAUCACCAACCCAAGGCCCACACGCUUCCGAAGAACAAAGUGAAGGCCCUCAACCUCAUGAACAAGACCAAGGGCAAAAUCAUGAUCAAGACGGUGGAGACACACCAAGUGAUGCCCAAGGUCAAGUUCUCUCCUCCGAGCAAGUUCAAGAUCAAGAACAAGCUCAAGACGGCGCUCAAGAUGAUCAAGUGACCGCUCCUCAACUCACCUCCGAGGAGGAAUUGGAGCGUCGUGCCGCCAAGAUUGCUUCC